rnacentral:rRNA from 1 species
CCUACGGGUGGCAGCAGUGGGGAAUAUUGGGCAAUGGGCGCAAGCCUGACCCAGCAACGCCGCGUGAAGGAAGAAGGCUCUCGGGUUGUAAACUUCUUUUCACAGGGACGAAGCAAGUGACGGUACCUGUUGAAUAAGCCACGGCUAACUACGUGCCAGCAGCCGCGGUAAUACGUAGGUGGCAAGCGUUAUCCGGAUUUACUGGGUGUAAAGGGCGUGUAGGCGGGGAAGCAAGUCAGAUGUGAAAUCCCAGGGCUCAACCUUGGAACUGCGUUUGAAACUGUUCUUCUUGAGUGAUGGAGAGGCAGACGGAAUUCCGAGUGUAGCGGGGAAAUGCGUAGAUAUACGGAGGAACACCAGUGGCGAAGGCGGCCUGCUGGACAUUAACUGACGCUGAGGCGCGAAAGCGUGGGGAGCAAACAGGAUUAGAUACCCUAGUAGUC